rnacentral:rRNA from 1 species
UUAAGCGACUAAGCGUACACGGUGGAUGCCCUGGCAGUCAGAGGCGAUGAAGGACGUGCUAAUCUGCGAUAAGCGUCGGUAAGGUGAUAUGAACCGUUAUAACCGGCGAUUUCCGAAUGGGGAAACCCAGUGUGUUUCGACACACUAUCAUUAACUGAAUCCAUAGGUUAAUGAGGCGAACCGGGGGAACUGAAACAUCUAAGUACCCCGAGGAAAAGAAAUCAACCGAGAUUCCCCCAGUAGCGGCGAGCGAACGGGGAGCAGCCCAGAGCCUGAAUCAGUGUGUGUGUUAGUGGAAGCGUCUGGAAAGGCGCGCGAUACAGGGUGACAGCCCCGUACACAAAAAUGCACAUGCUGUGAGCUCGAUGAGUAGGGCGGGACACGUGGUAUCCUGUCUGAAUAUGGGGGGACCAUCCUCCAAGGCUAAAUACUCCUGACUGACCGAUAGUGAACCAGUACCGUGAGGGAAAGGCGAAAAGAACCCCGGCGAGGGGAGUGAAAAAGAACCUGAAACCGUGUACGUACAAGCAGUGGGAGCACGCUUAGGCGUGUGACUGCGUACCUUUUGUAUAAUGGGUCAGCGACUUAUAUUCUGUAGCAAGGUUAACCGAAUAGGGGAGCCGAAGGGAAACCGAGUCUUAACUGGGCGUUAAGUUGCAGGGUAUAGACCCGAAACCCGGUGAUCUAGCCAUGGGCAGGUUGAAGGUUGGGUAACACUAACUGGAGGACCGAACCGACUAAUGUUGAAAAAUUAGCGGAUGACUUGUGGCUGGGGGUGAAAGGCCAAUCAAACCGGGAGAUAGCUGGUUCUCCCCGAAAGCUAUUUAGGUAGCGCCUCGUGAAUUCAUCUCCGGGGGUAGAGCACUGUUUCGGCAAGGGGGUCAUCCCGACUUACCAACCCGAUGCAAACUGCGAAUACCGGAGAAUGUUAUCACGGGAGACACACGGCGGGUGCUAACGUCCGUCGUGAAGAGGGAAACAACCCAGACCGCCAGCUAAGGUCCCAAAGUCAUGGUUAAGUGGGAAACGAUGUGGGAAGGCCCAGACAGCCAGGAUGUUGGCUUAGAAGCAGCCAUCAUUUAAAGAAAGCGUAAUAGCUCACUGGUCGAGUCGGCCUGCGCGGAAGAUGUAACGGGGCUAAACCAUGCACCGAAGCUGCGGCAGCGACACUGUGUGUUGUUGGGUAGGGGAGCGUUCUGUAAGCCUGUGAAGGUGUACUGUGAGGUAUGCUGGAGGUAUCAGAAGUGCGAAUGCUGACAUAAGUAACGAUAAAGCGGGUGAAAAGCCCGCUCGCCGGAAGACCAAGGGUUCCUGUCCAACGUUAAUCGGGGCAGGGUGAGUCGACCCCUAAGGCGAGGCCGAAAGGCGUAGUCGAUGGGAAACAGGUUAAUAUUCCUGUACUUGGUGUUACUGCGAAGGGGGGACGGAGAAGGCUAUGUUGGCCGGGCGACGGUUGUCCCGGUUUAAGCGUGUAGGCUGGUUUUCCAGGCAAAUCCGGAAAAUCAAGGCUGAGGCGUGAUGACGAGGCACUACGGUGCUGAAGCAACAAAUGCCCUGCUUCCAGGAAAAGCCUCUAAGCAUCAGGUAACAUCAAAUCGUACCCCAAACCGACACAGGUGGUCAGGUAGAGAAUACCAAGGCGCUUGAGAGAACUCGGGUGAAGGAACUAGGCAAAAUGGUGCCGUAACUUCGGGAGAAGGCACGCUGAUAUGUAGGUGAAGUCCCUCGCGGAUGGAGCUGAAAUCAGUCGAAGAUACCAGCUGGCUGCAACUGUUUAUUAAAAACACAGCACUGUGCAAACACGAAAGUGGACGUAUACGGUGUGACGCCUGCCCGGUGCCGGAAGGUUAAUUGAUGGGGUUAGCGGUAACGCGAAGCUCUUGAUCGAAGCCCCGGUAAACGGCGGCCGUAACUAUAACGGUCCUAAGGUAGCGAAAUUCCUUGUCGGGUAAGUUCCGACCUGCACGAAUGGCGUAAUGAUGGCCAGGCUGUCUCCACCCGAGACUCAGUGAAAUUGAACUCGCUGUGAAGAUGCAGUGUACCCGCGGCAAGACGGAAAGACCCCGUGAACCUUUACUAUAGCUUGACACUGAACAUUGAGCCUUGAUGUGUAGGAUAGGUGGGAGGCUUAGAAGUGUGGACGCCAGUCUGCAUGGAGCCGACCUUGAAAUACCACCCUUUAAUGUUUGAUGUUCUAACGUUGACCCGUAAUCCGGGUUGCGGACAGUGUCUGGUGGGUAGUUUGACUGGGGCGGUCUCCUCCUAAAGAGUAACGGAGGAGCACGAAGGUUGGCUAAUCCUGGUCGGACAUCAGGAGGUUAGUGCAAUGGCAUAAGCCAGCUUGACUGCGAGCGUGACGGCGCGAGCAGGUGCGAAAGCAGGUCAUAGUGAUCCGGUGGUUCUGAAUGGAAGGGCCAUCGCUCAACGGAUAAAAGGUACUCCGGGGAUAACAGGCUGAUACCGCCCAAGAGUUCAUAUCGACGGCGGUGUUUGGCACCUCGAUGUCGGCUCAUCACAUCCUGGGGCUGAAGUAGGUCCCAAGGGUAUGGCUGUUCGCCAUUUAAAGUGGUACGCGAGCUGGGUUUAGAACGUCGUGAGACAGUUCGGUCCCUAUCUGCCGUGGGCGCUGGAGAACUGAGGGGGGCUGCUCCUAGUACGAGAGGACCGGAGUGGACGCAUCACUGGUGUUCGGGUUGUCAUGCCAAUGGCACUGCCCGGUAGCUAAAUGCGGAAGAGAUAAGUGCUGAAAGCAUCUAAGCACGAAACUUGCCCCGAGAUGAGUUCUCCCUGACUCCUUGAGAGUCCUGAAGGAACGUUGAAGACGACGACGUUGAUAGGCCGGGUGUGUAAGCGCAGCGAUGCGUUGAGCUAACCGGUACUAAUGAACCGUGAGGCUUAACCUU